UGUUACCAAAAAAAAAAAAAAAGAGAGAGAGAGAUUUGUUUCUCAUAAUUUAUCUUUCUGUUAAUAUUGCAUAACUCCAUGUCUUUGCCUUUUGCUUGCUCAUCAGCUCAGCCCAGAAAUGCCAAACUGGACAAUGCCAGAACUGUUCCAGCCCUUUGUUUGCUGACUGAAGGAACAUUGCCCAAAGCCUGGGAUGCAUGGAGAAUCCUGGAAGGAAUCUGCUUAGGAGGAUUACCAGAAGCCUGCAUCCAACAACAGAGCAGAAAGAGGAAUGGCAAAAUGAACAGGAGUUUAUUACAAAUGAUGCGGAGUGGAAGAGGCUGACCCACGACAAGCACAAGAGAAGACAAAUCUUCAUUAAAAGGUGUGUGUGACAUUCAUUGAGUGCACUCUACAAUUGCAGCGUUGUGCCAGACUGGCCCUGUAAGUGAAUGCUUUUAAAUGAGUGUCUUGGUAAGCAAUCCUAGAGCAGCUCUGCAUUUUGAAAAUACCAAUUAACCCAAAGCUUCCAACAGGAACACAGCCCAAAUCUCCUUAUAGAAGCACACUCACUGUCAGUCAAGACUAAGUGGAAAGUAAAGUCCAAGUAAAAUUCUUCUUCGAAUGUGACUUUAUGGCCACAUGUUAUCCUCUUAGCCCC
rnacentral:lncRNA from 1 species